rnacentral:rRNA from 1 species
UCUAUCAAGCUAAUCUAGUUUGCUACUAACCAGCCCGAGACUGGUUGCCCACUGAAGCUAAGCAGGGUUGAGCUGGUCAGUACUCAGUACCUGGAUGGGAGACCUCCUGGGAAAACUAGGUUGCUGCUGGAA